UGCCAACAAUCAAUUCUCCAUCACAAGAUCAGAAAUACCAAAAUACUGCAACCCGACCCUCCAUCACAAGGUCAGAAAUACCAAAAUGCCAACAAUCGACUCUACAUCACAAGGUCAGAAAUAAUACAAUACUGACACCCGACCCUCCAUCACAAAGUCAGAAAUACAAAAAUACCGACAACCGACCCUCAAUCACAAGGUCAGAAAUGACAAAAUACCAACAACUGACCCGCUAUCACAAGGUCAGAAAUACCAAAAUACCAACAACUGACCCGACAUCACAAGGUCAGAAAUACCAAAAUACUGACACGUGACCCUCCAUCACAAGGUCAGAAAUGACAAAAUACAGACAACCGACCCUCCAUCACAAAGUCAGAAAUACCAAAAUACCAACAACCGACCCUCCAUCACAAGGUCAGAAAUACCAAAAUACUGACAGCCGACCCUCCAUCUCACGGUCAGAAAUACCAAAAUACUGACAACUGACCCUCCAUCACAAGAUCAGAAAUACCAAAAUACCAACAACCGACCCUCCAUCACAAGGUCAGACAUACCAAAAUGCCAACAAUCGACUCUACAUCAGAAGGUCAGAAAUAACAAAAUACUGACCACCGGCCCUCCAUCACAAGGUCAGAAAUACCAAAAUACCAUCAACCGUCCCUCCAUCACAAGGUCAGAAAUACCAAAAUACUGACACCCGACCCUCCAUCACAAGGUCAGGAAUACCAAAAUACCGACAACUGACCCUCCAUCACAAGGUCAGGAAUACCAAAAUACCAACAUCCGACCAUCCAUUACAAGGUCAGAAAUAACAAAAUACCAACAACCGACUCUCCAUCACAGGGUCAGAAAUACCAAAAUACCAACAACCGACUCUCCAUCACAAGGUCAGAAAUACCAAAAUGAAGACACCCGA